rnacentral:rRNA from 1 species
CCUACGGGUGGCAGCAGUGGGGAAUAUUGGACAAUGGGGGGAACCCUGAUCCAGCCAUGCCGCGUGUGUGAAGAAGGCCCUCGGGUUGUAAAGCACUUUCAGUGAGGAAGAACGCCUGGUGGUUAAUACCCAUCAGGAAAGACAUCACUCACAGAAGAAGCACCGGCUAACUCCGUGCCAGCAGCCGCGGUAAUACGGAGGGUGCGAGCGUUAAUCGGAAUUACUGGGCGUAAAGCGCGCGUAGGUGGCUUGAUAAGCCGGUUGUGAAAGCCCCGGGCUCAACCUGGGAACGGCAUCCGGAACUGGCAAGCUAGAGUGCAGGAGAGGAAGGUAGAAUUCCCGGUGUAGCGGUGAAAUGCGUAGAGAUCGGGAGGAAUACCAGUGGCGAAGGCGGCCUUCUGGACUGACACUGACACUGAGGUGCGAAAGCGUGGGUAGCAAACAGGAUUAGAUACCCGUGUAGUC